ensembl:lncRNA
CCACAAAGCAUGAGAUUCAGAAAGAAAACUGUGUAUUGUGGAGAAUAAAAACGACAACUGUAUUUUCCCUGGUCUUCUUUUGUGAUGGUUUUUAAGAGAACAGAACAAUUACUGCUGUCGUUAUGAAAAAAUGUUUCAUAUCGGUGGGACAGGUUGUCUUUAAAAUCUAAGGUCCCAUCAUUAUAUCUGAAGAUCAAUUUUCCCUUCACCCCUCUCUCCUCAUCAUCUUCCACUUGCCACUUGAAGUCCUUAUUCAAAUCUCUAUUAGAGCAAUUGCAUGGCAGGAGCACAUCGUCUUUCUCAAAGCCUUUGACAGCGACAGUGAUGCCUUCACCUGCAACAGAAAAGAUGACCAAUCAUAAGUCCAGUUAUCAGAAUCAUAAUGUUGGUUUUCC